UACGGAUUAUCAUAUCAGUGGCCGGUAGCUAAUAGAUAAGAGAUAAGAGAGAGACAGGAGCGUUAGUCUCUUGUCAUCUGACGAUAUGGCGGCCUCUCCCAUCUAUUGUCUGGGUUGCGAGUUAUUCAGCCCGUAUCCUCAGACGGACUACAGCUUCUCCACUGGAGCUGAACCGGAUUGUCAAGCUCUGUGAUAACUAUCGGCAACACUAAACAUCUUCUGGUGAUGUCAGAGCUCAAGACAGUAGGAGGACCGGUGUGUGGAGCCUGCUGUUGUAUCAUCUGUGACCACUAAAUCAUGAGAGUCACUGACAACUUG